rnacentral:rRNA from 1 species
AUUUGGUCGUAGACCCGAAACCAGGUGAUCUACCCUUGGUCAGGUUGAAGUUCAGGUAACACUGAAUGGAGGACCGAACCGACUUACGUUGAAAAGUGAGCGGAUGAACUGAGGGUAGCGGAGAAAUUCCAAUCGAACCUGGAGAUAGCUGGUUCUCUCCGAAAUAGCUUUAGGGCUAGCCUCAAGUGAUGAUUAUUGGAGGUAGAGCACUGUUUGGACGAGGGGCCCCUCUCGGGUUACCGAAUUCAGACAAACUCCGAAUGCCAAUUAAUUUAACUUGGGAGUCAGAACAUGGGUGAUAAGGUCCGUGUUCGAAAGGGAAACAGCCCAGACCACCAGCUAAGGUCCCAAAAUAUAUGUUAAGUGGAAAAGGAUGUGGCGUUGCCCAGACAACUAGGAUGUUGGCUUAGAAGCAGCCAUCAUUUAAAGAGUGCGUAAUAGCUCACUAGUCGAGUGACACUGCGCCGAAAAUGUAC